CAUUAAAUAUCUUAAGUUUAAAGAAUUGAUUUUUUAAAUCAAAUAUAAUAAUUAAUUAUUUUUAUUGA
rnacentral:tRNA from 1 species